AGAGUUUGAUCCUGGCUCAGGAUGAACGCUGGCGGCGUGCCUAAUACAUGCAAGUCGAGCGAACGGACGAGAAGCUUGCUUCUCUGAUGUUAGCGGCGGACGGGUGAGUAACACGUGGAUAACCUACCUAUAAGACUGGGAUAACUUCGGGAAACCGGAGCUAAUACCGGAUAAUAUUUUGAACCGCAUGGUUCAAAAGUAAAAGACGGUCUUGCUGUCACUUAUAGAUGGAUCCGCGCUGCAUUAGCUAGUUGGUAAGGUAACGGCUUACCAAGGCAACGAUGCAUAGCCGACCUGAGAGGGUGAUCGGCCACACUGGAACUGAGACACGGUCCAGACUCCUACGGGAGGCAGCAGUAGGGAAUCUUCCGCAAUGGGCGAAAGCCUGACGGAGCAACGCCGCGUGAGUGAUGAAGGUCUUCGGAUCGUAAAACUCUGUUAUUAGGGAAGAACAUAUGUGUAAGUAACUGUGCACAUCUUGACGGUACCUAAUCAGAAAGCCACGGCUAACUACGUGCCAGCAGCCGCGGUAAUACGUAGGUGGCAAGCGUUAUCCGGAAUUAUUGGGCGUAAAGCGCGCGUAGGCGGUUUUUUAAGUCUGAUGUGAAAGCCCACGGCUCAACCGUGGAGGGUCAUUGGAAACUGGAAAACUUGAGUGCAGAAGAGGAAAGUGGAAUUCCAUGUGUAGCGGUGAAAUGCGCAGAGAUAUGGAGGAACACCAGUGGCGAAGGCGACUUUCUGGUCUGUAACUGACGCUGAUGUGCGAAAGCGUGGGGAUCAAACAGGAUUAGAUACCCUGGUAGUCCACGCCGUAAACGAUGAGUGCUAAGUGUUAGGGGGUUUCCGCCCCUUAGUGCUGCAGCUAACGCAUUAAGCACUCCGCCUGGGGAGUACGACCGCAAGGUUGAAACUCAAAGGAAUUGACGGGGACCCGCACAAGCGGUGGAGCAUGUGGUUUAAUUCGAAGCAACGCGAAGAACCUUACCAAAUCUUGACAUCCUUUGACAACUCUAGAGAUAGAGCCUUCCCCUUCGGGGGACAAAGUGACAGGUGGUGCAUGGUUGUCGUCAGCUCGUGUCGUGAGAUGUUGGGUUAAGUCCCGCAACGAGCGCAACCCUUAAGCUUAGUUGCCAUCAUUAAGUUGGGCACUCUAAGUUGACUGCCGGUGACAAACCGGAGGAAGGUGGGGAUGACGUCAAAUCAUCAUGCCCCUUAUGAUUUGGGCUACACACGUGCUACAAUGGACAAUACAAAGGGCAGCGAAACCGCGAGGUCAAGCAAAUCCCAUAAAGUUGUUCUCAGUUCGGAUUGUAGUCUGCAACUCGACUACAUGAAGCUGGAAUCGCUAGUAAUCGUAGAUCAGCAUGCUACGGUGAAUACGUUCCCGGGUCUUGUACACACCGCCCGUCACACCACGAGAGUUUGUAACACCCGAAGCCGGUGGAGUAACCUUUUAGGAGCUAGCCGUCGAAGGUGGGACAAAUGAUUGGGGUGAAGUCGUAACAAGGUAGCCGUAUCGGAAGGUGCGGUUGGAUCACCU
rnacentral:rRNA from 1 species